rnacentral:rRNA from 1 species
UACGUAGGGUGCAAGCGUUAAUCGGAAUUACUGGGCGUAAAGCGUGCGCAGGCGGUUUUGUAAGUCUGUCGUGAAAAUCCCUGGGCUCAACCUGGGAAUUGCAGUCGAUACUGACGAGCUCGAGUUCGGUAGAGGGUGGCGGAAUUCCCGGUGUAGCGGUGAAAUGCGUAGAUAUCGGAAGGAACACCAGUGGCGAAAGCGGCUUCCUGGUCCAGCACCGACGUUCAGGCACGAAAGCGUGGGGAGCAAACAGG